GAAUAUUGGACAAUGGGCGAAAGCCUGAUCCAGCCAUGCCGCGUGUGUGAAGAAGGUCUUCGGAUUGUAAAGCACUUUAAGUUGGGAGGAAGGGCAGUGAGCGAAUACCUUGCUGUUUUUACGUUACCUACAGCAUAAGCACCGGCUAACUCUGGGCCAGCAGCCUCGGUAAAACAGAGGGUGCACACGUUAAGCGGCAUUACUGGGCGUAAAGCGCGCGUAGGUGGUUCGUUAAGUUGGAUGUGAAAUCCCCGGGCUCAACCUGGGAACUGCAUCCAAAACUGGCGAGCUAGAGUAGGGCAGAGGGUGGUGGAAUUUCCUGUGUAGCGGUGAAAUGCGUAGAUAUAGGAAGGAACACCAGUGGCGAAGGCGACCACCUGGGCUCAUACUGACACUGAGGUGCGAAAGCGUGGGGAGCAAACAG
rnacentral:rRNA from 1 species